rnacentral:lncRNA from 1 species
GAUGAACUCAUGCCACUGGCUUUGCAGGGUGCAGGACUGAGUCUCACACCAGGCUGCUGACCCAUAGAUUUUAGAGAUAGGUAUGUAACACCGGGGAAAGGGAACGCGGUGUUCAGUCUGUCUUUAAACCUAUUGCUAAAAAAGCUGUUUCCUCCCAAAUUCCAUACAACUAAUGCUAUUGGACUUGAAGUCAUUUUAAGUAGAACAGGUCAAUAACUACCAUUAGGCUUCAUGAAUUUGGAUCUGGUCCCUUAUCCAACAGCAAUAAUCACAGAGCCCCAGCCUGGGGGUUGGAACUGGAUGAGCUUUAAGGUCCCUUCCAACUCAAACCAGUCUGUGAUUCUAUGUUCUUUUUCAGUUCUUUCACCUCUUACUGGAAUCUGAGGCAUGUAACGGCGAAUGGGCAUUCACUCCUCCUAAACACUGAUGGUUUAAAUAUCUAUGCUGAAGCACUGUGUGUGAUAAGAACACAUCUUCAUUUGCUUAAUGAUUUGUAGAAUAUCAUGGCUUCAACAGUGCUGAAGGCCAUGUGGCAUGUAAGUAAGCUUGCAGCAGUGAGCAGGAUUGAGAGACCCAUGUGAUAAAGUCAGGAAACUGCCAAUGCAUAAGAGGGUGUGAUAAGGAACCACCUUCUGCUCAGCCUUUUGACCUCCAGUUUGUGCAUCAGCAUGGAGGAAGGAGAAGCUAGGUCAAAAUGAACUUAAUAAAUAAACGACUAUGGGAAACCAUCAGUAAUUUGUCUUCUUCAGCAUAUAAGAAGAGUUUGUUGGGAAAAAAAUUGAUGUCCUGUGCUUUCGGUCAAACCUUGGCUGAGUCUACUUUUGGAUUUGAACAGGAUCAGCAUUUUGCACUUUGUAACGGACCUCUUUGGCCUGAGUGAGACCAUUUUAAUUCCAGAAUAAACUCUGUGCCAGUGAAAAGGGGAAUAUAAUUGUUUUUUAAAAUCUGAUUUUAUUUUUUUUAAAUUAUGUCUUUUCAAAUAAUUUACAUUUAUUCUGUUAAUAAUGUCAGUUCUCUGAAAGGGACAUUAACAUUAAAAAUAACCAACUCUCAUUGUCAUGUAGAAUAUUAUCAUUAGGAAACUAGAGUUUGGGGUGUUAUAAAAUAUCAUCAUUCUCAUGAGAAUAACAGUCCUAGUUUAAUGUGAUUGGAAUCUAACACACAAUAACCUUGCGUGAGAAAGCUGGAGUCAGUAACAGAAAACCUGCUCAGCAAAGUUGGAAUCACACAUACGUAAUUUCUUCUCACCUCUCUAACUCAGCAGCAGUUGUGGUACAUCAGAAAAUGUAAAAUUAGCACUCCUUUGUAUGAAGUAUGAAUUACUGUCUUCAACUGUCCCCUGUCACAGAAAGCAAUUGCUGUUGUAGCAUCUCAGAAUUCACUGUAGGUGCAUGGGAAAGCAUAACCUGGUGAUGGUACUGCCUGAAACAGAGCCAGGGCUAAUUCUUUGCUUAUUUUUCUACAUCAAAAGAUUGUUUCAAAACAGAUCAUUAAAACCUUCUUCUCUAAGGUUGUAAUUGGUGUAAGCAUACAUUAUGUAGGUUGCUGUUCCUCUGAGUGCUGAGGAUUUUAUGAGGUACCAAUAUUUUACCAGUAGGCAUAAAUUAUUGUUGGGAAAUAUAUGAAUAUUUAUUUAUGUCUUCCUCUAUAUUCCUGUAAUACUCCAAUGGCAUAAAUUAGGUUCGUAUGACAGCUAAGUAGAUCUUCCUUUUAUUUUAGAAGCAUAUACAUGGACACAAUUGGCAUAUACAAGCUUGCGUGUGAAUAUGUAUCUGUAACUUCGAUUCUAGAAAACCUAUGAUCUAUAUCUGCAUGUGCAUCAUCAUGAAGUGGGUUCACUAUGCUCCACGGUAUCCAUAAGCUCUACCUCAUUCGCCUUAAAAAGACUUUGUGGACUGAGGGAAGAUGUGUAACACAACACAGUUACUGGGAGCUAGUUAGCUUUGUCACCAGGCUGUCUCACCAAGACAGAAAACUUCCAUUUCUUCCCUGCAUUGUCCUUCACCCCAGCUGAUCAAUACGAUAGCCUAAAAUAGCUACACAAAAUCAAGUAACCAUUUAAUGACAUUGUAGUAAAACCAACAUUUCCUCUGAUUGUUGAAGAAGAGAGGCUCCAGGAUUUUAUUGUAUAUAUUUUACUGAUAUUUUUCUUCCAUUCUAGUAGGAGCUAUACUUUAUUUCCUAUAGAAUGGUCUAAUUCCUAUUCUAUGUAUAAGAUUUGCCUGUUUCUUAAAAUAAAGCUGAAAAAAGAAAACAGUGUUUAUCUUUCAUUGUUUAAAAACAAUUCAUCAAAUAUAGCUAUGUUAGAUAUUACAACAUCUUGCACAUCACUACAUUAUUAAGUUAAUCUAAUGCCCAGAGUGAUUACGCACAUUCCUAGAUGUCCUUCUGAUAUCUCUCCAGUCCGCUGGAUUUUGAAGUGUGAUUAUAUAAAUUUUUUUACUGAUAAAUAAAUUACUAUAAUUGUAGUUGAAAUACCACUCAAAUUCUGAAGACCAUCACAUCUAAACAAUAUAUUAUGCAUUACUUAAUUAUUUAUCAAGACUAAUUCAAAAUAACUGUAGGGCAAAGCAUACAUUUAUUUUUAAAUAGCACUUUUUUAUUUUUGCACCAGGUACAAAAAUGUACAACCACAUGUCAAAAAGAAAAAAAAAA